rnacentral:rRNA from 1 species
UACAGAGGUCUCAAGCGUUGUUCGGAUUCAUUGGGCGUAAAGGGUGCGUAGGUGGCGCGGUAAGUCGGGUGUGAAAUCUCGGAGCUUAACUCCGAAAUUGCAUUCGAUACUGCCGUGCUCGAGGACUGGAGAGGAGACUGGAAUUCAUGGUGUAGCAGUGAAAUGCGUAGAGAUCAUGAGGAAGACCAGCGGCGAAGGCGGGUCUCUGGACAGUUCCUGACACUGAGGCACGAAGGCCAGGGGAGCAAACGGG